GCACCGGCUGGGAGUUAUACCGCAGUGACCCAUAGCUUUACAUCGGAGGAGAGCGACGUCAGAUGUAGAGACGGUGC
rnacentral:sRNA from 12 species